AAUUAUGUGCCUGAUUAAAGGGUUAAUUUGAUAUAUUAAAUAAUGGCAGGAUAU
rnacentral:tRNA from 1 species